GGAUUGAACGCUGGCGGCAUGCCUUACACAUGCAAGUCGAACGGCAGCACGGGAGCAAUCCUGGUGGCGAGUGGCGAACGGGUGAGUAAUAUAUCGGAACGUGCCCAGUAAUGGGGGAUAGCCCGGCGAAAGCCGGAUUAAUACCGCAUACGACCUACGGGUGAAAGCGGGGAUCGCAAGACCUCGCGUUAUUGGAGCGGCCGAUAUCAGAUUAGCUUGUUGGUGGGUAAAAGCCUACCAAGGCGACGAUCUGUAGCUGGUCUGAGAGGACGACUAGCCACACUGGGACUGAGACACGGCCCAGACUCCUACGGGAGGCAGCAGUGGGAAUUUUGGACAAUGGGCGAAAGCCUGAUUCCAGCCAUGCCGCGUGUGGAAGAAGGCCUUCGGGUUGUAAACCGACUUUUGUCAGGAAGAAAGGUACCCUACUAACUAUUAAGGUACUAAAUGACGUACCUCGAAGAAUAAGCACCGCGUAACUACGUAGCCAG
rnacentral:rRNA from 1 species